CAUCCAUGUUUAUAACUCUCUUUAACAGUCAUGUAAUUAAAAACCAAAUCUUCAUCAUUGUGUUGGAAGGUACCCUAAGACACAUACAAAAACAACUAUUUUUGGUUUUUUUCAAAACAAUUUUUCAAAUUUUUAUGAGAUUUUCAGAUUUUUAUGUCAAAACACACUAAAAUACUCCAAAAUAGCUUAAAAACACUUAAAACAACAAGGAACAACACUAGAAGUUAUGGGUGAUAAACUCCUACGAAUUUCAUGCAAAACAACUUGUUUACCCCCCCUCA
rnacentral:lncRNA from 1 species